rnacentral:rRNA from 1 species
AUGGGUGGAGGCCACGACAUGCACGGCGGCCACAACGGCGGCGUGAAGGGCUUCGUGUCCGGCCUCGUUAACGGCGGGAAAGGCCACGGCUACGGAUCGUCAUACGGCCAGGGGCACGGCUACGGCGGUGGCCACGUGCAGGGCUACCAGCAGGGCUACGGGUACCCUCCUGCUGCCGGCGCCUACCCUCCGCACGGCGGCUAUCAGGCGCACGGCUACGCGCCGGCGGCUUACCCUUCUCACGGGGAGCACCACGGUCACAUGGGAUCGUACCACACCGGGCAUGGCAGCGGGCACCAUCACGGCGGCAAGUACCAUGGCGGCAAGCACGGCGGCAAGUACCAUGGCGGCAAGCACGGCAGUAGGUGGUGA